UCGGAUUGUAGUCUGNAACCCGACUACAUGAAGCUGGAAUCGCUAGUAAUCGCGGAUCAGAAUGCCGCGGUGAAUACGUUCCCGGGUCUUGUACACACCGCCCGUCACACCAUGGGAGUCGGAAAUGCCCGAAGCCGGUGGCCUAACCGAUAAGGGAGGAGCCGUCGAAGGCAGGUCUGAUGACUGGGGUGAAGUCGUAACAAGGUACC
rnacentral:rRNA from 1 species